rnacentral:rRNA from 1 species
AGUGAACGCUGGCGGUAGGCCUAACACAUGCAAGUCGAACGGCAGCACAGUAAGAGCUUGCUCUUACGGGUGGCGAGUGGCGGACGGGUGAGGAAUACAUCGGAAUCUACUUUUUCGAGGGGGAUAACGUAGGGAAACUUACGCUAAUACCGCAUACGACCUACGGGUGAAAGCAGGGGAUCUUCGGACCUUGCGCGAUUGAAUGAGCCGAUGUCGGAUUAGCUAGUUGGCGGGGUAAAGGCCCACCAAGGCGACGAUCCGUAGCUGGUCUGAGAGGAUGAUCAGCCACACUGGAACUGAGACACGGUCCAGACUCCUACGGGAGGCAGCAGUGGGUAAUAUUGGACAAUGGGCGCAAGCCUGAUCCAGCCAUACCGCGUGGGUGAAGAAGGCCUUCGGGUUGUAAAGCCCUUUUGUUGGGAAAGAAAAGCAGCAGGUUAAUACCCCGCUGUUCUGACGGUACCCAAAGAAUAAGCACCGGCUAACUGCGU